rnacentral:misc_RNA from 1 species
CGGACACGCACUUCAUCUUGU